GGAAAGAUGAAAAGAACUUUGAAAAGAGAGUUAAACAGUACGUGAAAUUGUUGAAAGGGAAACGAUUGAAGUCAGUCAUACCAACGGGAAAUCAACCUUUUGAGCUUUGUCUCGUGGGUUCGAAGAGUUUUAAACGCCUUCGGGUUCGCGAGAUUGGGAUCUUCUGGUGUACUUUCUCGUACGGUUAGUCAACAUCGGUUUUGAAUGUCAUAAAAUGACUGGAGGAAUGUAGCUUCGAACUCGUAUCGAAGUGUUAUAGCCUUUGGUAGAUGUGAUGUUUGAGACCGAGGAUUGCAACGGAUACCCUUCAUGGGCUAUUCGUCUGAUCUCUGAUACGUUGCCUUGACGUUGAAAGCUUGCUUACGAUGUUAGGGUAUUACGAUCAAAAGGUUAGAACGGAUUAAAUUCGUUAAGGAUGUUGACGUAAUGACUUUAAACGACCCGUCUUGAAACACGGACCA
rnacentral:rRNA from 2 species